UACGUAGGGUGCGAGCGUUAAUCGGAAUUACUGGGCGUAAAGCGUGCGCAGGCGGUUGUGCAAGACCGAUGUGAAAUCCCCGGGCUCAACCUGGGAACUGCAUUUGUGACUGCAUGGCUGGAGUGCGGCAGAGGGGGAUGGAAUUCCGCGUGUAGCAGUGAAAUGCGUAGAUAUGCGGAGGAACACCGAUGGCGAAGGCAGCACUCUGGGACGUGACUGACGCUGAGACGCGAAAGCGUGGGGAGCAAACAGG
rnacentral:rRNA from 1 species